AGCAGCAGCCACGGUAAUACGUAGGGUGCGAGCGUUAAUCGGAAUUACUGGGCGUAAAGCGUGCGCAGGCGGUUUGUUAAGACAGAUGUGAAAUCCCCGGGCUUAACCUGGGAACUGCAUUUGUGACUGGCCGGCUAGAGUAUGGCAGAGGGAGGUGGAAUUCCACGUGUAGCAGUGAAAUGCGUAGAUAUGUGGAGGAACACCGAUGGCGAAGGCAGCCUCCUGGGCCAAUACUGACGCUCAUGCACGAAAGCGUGGGGAGCAAACAGGAUUAGAUACCCCGGUAGUCCCUGUCUCUUAUAA
rnacentral:rRNA from 1 species